GGGCGCAGAGUGAGCGGCGAUAUGGCGGACGGUGGUAGUGUAGCGUGGGUGUGGCUGGGCCGUGCGGGAAAAGGGGCAGUCUGCGGUCGUUCGACGAACGAAACGAAGCCAAUCGAGCGACGCGCCGCGGCGAGAGCCGGGAGGGCGCCGGUCCGACGAGCCUACCGCCCCGCCGGCCCCAUGCAGUGCGACGGCUAUUAGAGCCACGAGCGGCGCUAGCCCAUGCAGAUGAUGUGGCGCCACAAGGAGCGCUAGGGGCGCACCGACCCCGAGCGGUGCCGCCGGCCCCAGCGGUUGCAGCGCCGGAUGUGGUGCGAGCGCGAGCGGACGCAGCGGCGGAUGCCGGAGCAGCAGUGCGCGCUGGGCCCGGCGCACGGCGGGCGGAAGCACGGGCUGCAGCUCCUGCGGCUCUGGGGGGAGGUACUCUAGUUCGCGUUCCCACCACUAAACUCUAUGACGGUCUUCACAAGAGUAAUAUUUGGAGGAGCGCGCGUAGUAACAGCACAGACGUUCUCUACAUAAGACUUUUACCUGGUGGUGACAUAAACCUAAUUGUUAACACAACCCGUACUCUUAAUGUUUUAAAAGGAGCAGAAACACGACAUGCGACGUUGGCGUUCGAAGAUAAGAAACCGAGACUACUAACCUCCGCGUAACGUAUCACACGGAUUUCUACUUGUUAGUCCUUAACUAAGAGGUUCUUUUAGCAAUCAAUAAACACCACAGAAACACACACAUUACUGAAACCGUAACAGAUAGGAGAACCAGACCGUACAAAUGGAGUAGAACGUAUUAUUUUGAUGAUAGCUCAUGGUACUUCCUCAAUCCCGUUACACCAACCGUCUUUUCCGACCUUUAGAAAUGGUAGUAGGUAUACUAGAGCCACAGAUAGUAUUAUAACAAAGCCAGGAUCCGGGGUUGUACGAUACGACCAAGACGGGACAUAGCUCCUUGUAUCCGUUGCCGCAAGCAAAGGCGUGUAGCAUACUAUAAGGCGAUAGAUGUGGUGGUAGGUUUCGUCUUUUCGUAGACCGUUACAGAACUCGAGAACGUAACUCUCGCAUAUAACACCCUAGUUUAGGCACUUAGUACGGCGUUCACAUUCGAACUACUCUUCUUAGUGGCUACCCGGAGUUAUCUAGACCUCACCGGACCGAGCGGACAUGAGUAUGUUUUUUCAGACUUGACUUCUCAGUUUCUGACGAGACAACAUUCAUGCACGGACAUCACAGCAAAUGGGACUUCAGGCAUAUAACGCAAAAACACAGUCUCUCUCAAUUCCCUGUUUACAGGUCAAAUGAGUUAAACAUAUCUCGACAACACAAUAUCUACAACUUAGGCACUUUAGACAAAUGUUCUACACACAGAUAUGCACGACGAUGCGUACGAACACUGGUACCUGUCCCAAAAAGGACCAGGCUGGCCUUUCGUCCGGUAAAAAAC
rnacentral:rRNA from 1 species